rnacentral:rRNA from 1 species
CCUACGGGAGGCAGCAGUGAGGAAUAUUGGUCAAUGGCCGUAAGGCUGAACCAGCCAUGCCGCGUGCAGGAAGAAGGAUCUAUGAGUUGUAAACUUCUUUUGUAGGGGAGUAAAGGUCUCCACGUGUAGAUGGUUGCAUGUAUCCUAUGAAUAAGCAUCGGCUAACUCCGUGCCAGCAGCCGCGGUAAUACGGAGGAUGCUAGCGUUCUCCGGAUUUAUUGGGUUUAAAGGGUGCGUAGGUUGUUUUUUAAGUCAGCGGUGAAAGUGUGUGGCUCAACCAUAACACUGCCGUUGAAACUGGAAGACUUGAGUGUGUUUGAGGUAGGCGGAAUGUGUGGUGUAGCGGUGAAAUGCAUAGAUAUCAUGCAGAACACCGAUUGCGAAGGCAGCUUACUAAGCCAUAACUGACACUGAAGCACGAAAGCGUGGGGAGCAAACAGGAUUAGAUACCCGGGUAGUC